rnacentral:rRNA from 1 species
AACGAACGCUGGCGGCGUGCUUAACACAUGCAAGUCGAGCGCGAAAGGGACUUCGGUCCUGAGUAAAGUGGCGCACGGGUGAGUAACGCGUAGAUAACCUGUCUUCAUGUCUGGAAUAAUACGCCGAAAGGGGUACUAAUACCGGAUAUUCUUGCUUUUCAUAAGUUAUGCAAGCAAAGGUGGCCUCUGCAUAUGCUACUGCAUGAAGAGGGGUCUGCGUACCAUUAGCUAGUAGGUGGGGUAAUGGCCUACCUAGGCGACGAUGGUUAGCGGGUCUGAGAGGAUGAUCCGCCACACUGGCACUGGAACACGGGCCAGACUCCUACGGGAGGCAGCAGUGAGGAAUAUUGCGCAAUGGGGGAAACCCUGACGCAGCGACGCCGCGUGAGUGAAGGAAGGCCUUCGGGUCGUAAAGCUCUGUCAAGAGGAAAGAAGUGUACAAUGGCUAAUACCUGUUGUAUUUGACGGUACCUCUAAAGGAAGCACCGGCUAACUCCGUGCCAGCCGCAGC